AGCUCCAAUAGCGUAUAUUAAAGUUGUUGCGGUUAAAAAGCUCGUAGUUGGAUCUCGGCGGGUAGAAGGCGGUACACUGCUCAGUGUUUAUGCCUUUUUUCCCGUAGUUUUUUCUAGAGGUUUUCGGGUGCUCUUUAUCGUGUGUUCUUGGAUGCUAGCAGGUUUACUUUGAAAAAAUUAGAGUGCUCAAAACAGGCUACUACGCUUGAAUAUUCGUGCAUGGAAUAAUAGAAUAGGAAGUCGUUUCUAUUUUGUUGGUUUUCGGAAAUCGACUUAAUGAUUAAUAGGGACAGUCGGGGGCAUUUGUAUUCAAACGACAGAGGUGAAAUUCUUGGACCGUUUGAAGACAAACUACUGCGAAAGCAUUUGCCAAGAAUGUUUUCA
rnacentral:rRNA from 1 species